GGUCGUUUGCCAGAGUGGUUAAUGGGUGCCCCUGCUACCAGGGUAUGGUCUCCGACCGCGUGUGUUCGAAUCGCACAGCGACCG
rnacentral:tRNA from 1 species